CCUGAGCUCAUAGUUAGGCACCCAAUUAAACCCAAAUAGAUUUAAGUAAGGUUCAAGGCUAUGGAUUUGAUCCAAUCGAAGUCUUGAAAAGAAUUAGGUUUAACCAUGUGCUAGUAUGGUUCUCUUAAACCUAAUAGGAUUUUAAUAAAUUCUAAUUCAAUUAGAACUUUAUAAGUCCAAUUGAUAAAUUCAAGAUUAAAUAUUUUAAUGUGUGACUCCAUAGAUUCCAUUCU
rnacentral:lncRNA from 1 species